rnacentral:rRNA from 1 species
GACGAACGCUGGCGGCGUGCUUAACACAUGCAAGUCGAACGGAAAGGCCCUGCUUUUGUGGGGUGCUCGAGUGGCGAACGGGUGAGUAACACGUGAGUAACCUGCCCUUGACUUUGGGAUAACUUCAGGAAACUGGGGCUAAUACCGGAUAGGAGCUCCUGCUGCAUGGUGGGGGUUGGAAAGUUUCGGCGGUUGGGGAUGGACUCGCGGCUUAUCAGCUUGUUGGUGGGGUAGUGGCUUACCAAGGCUUUGACGGGUAGCCGGCCUGAGAGGGUGACCGGCCACAUUGGGACUGAGAUACGGCCCAGACUCCUACGGGAGGCAGCAGUGGGGAAUAUUGCACAAUGGGCGGAAGCCUGAUGCAGCAACGCCGCGUGCGGGAUGACGGCCUUCGGGUUGUAAACCGCUUUCGCCUGUGACGAAGCGUGAGUGACGGUAAUGGGUAAAGAAGCACCGGCUAACUACGUGCCAGCAGCCGCGGUGAUACGUAGGGUGCGAGCGUUGUCCGGAUUUAUUGGGCGUAAAGGGCUCGUAGGUGGUUGAUCGCGUCGGAAGUGUAAUCUUGGGGCUUAACCCUGAGCGUGCUUUCGAUACGGGUUGACUUGAGGAAGGUAGGGGAGAAUGGAAUUCCUGGUGGAGCGGUGGAAUGCGCGGAUAUCAGGAGGAACACCAGUGGCGAAGGCGGUUCUCUGGGCCUUUCCUGACGCUGAGGAGCGAAAGCGUGGGGAGCGAACAGGCUUAGAUACCCUGGUAGUCCACGCUGUAAACGGUGGGUACUAGGUGUGGGGUCCAUUCCACGGGUUCCGUGCCGUAGCUAGCGCUUUAAGUACCCCGCCUGGGGAGUACGGCCGCAAGGCUAAAACUCAAAGGAAUUGACGGGGCCCCGCACAAGCGGCGGAGCAUGCGGAUUAAUUCGAUGCAACGCGUAGAACCUUACCUGGGUUUGACAUGGAUCGGGAGUGCUCAGAGAUGGGUGUGCCUCUUUUGGGGUCGGUUCACAGGUGGUGCAUGGCUGUCGUCAGCUCGUGUCGUGAGAUGUUGGGUUAAGUCCCGCAACGAGCGCAACCCUUGUUCACUGUUGCCAGCACGUUAUGGUGGGGACUCAGUGGAGACCGCCGGGGUCAACUCGGAGGAAGGUGGGGAUGACGUCAAGUCAUCAUGCCCCUUAUGUCCAGGGCUUCACGCAUGCUACAAUGGCUGGUACAGAGAGUGGCGAGCCUGUGAGGGUGAGCGAAUCUCGGAAAGCCGGUCUCAGUUCGGAUUGGGGUCUGCAACUCGACCUCAUGAAGUCGGAGUCGCUAGUAAUCGCAGAUCAGCAACGCUGCGGUGAAUACGUUCCCGGGGCU